UGGGGAAUAUUGGACAAUGGGCGCAAGCCUGAUCCAGCCAUGCCGCGUGAGUGAUGAAGGCCCUAGGGUUGUAAAGCUCUUUCACCGGUGAAGAUAAUGACGGUAACCGGAGAAGAAGCCCCGGCUAACUUCGUGCCAGCAGCCGCGGUAAUACGAAGGGGGCUAGCGUUGUUCGGAUUUACUGGGCGUAAAGCGCACGUAGGCGGACUAUUAAGUCAGGGGUGAAAUCCCGGGGCUCAACCCCGGGACUGCCUUUGAUACUGGUAGUCUUGAGUUCGAGAGAGAUGAGUGGAAUUCCGAAUGUAGAGGUGAAAUUCGUAGAGAUUCGGGGGAACACCAGUGGCGAAAGCGGCUCACUGGCUCGAUACUGACGCUGGGGUGCGAAAGCGUGGGGAGCAAACAGG
rnacentral:rRNA from 1 species